UGAAGGCUCUUAUGAAAGCAAGACAUUAGCCACCAUGCACCAUGAAAAACAAGCUGCCUCAUCCCUUCUCCAAAGAUGGUCUUCCUUCUGUACUCCUACAUUCAAAAUUCCUUCCCUGUGUUUACUGGUGUCUGUCUGGCCUCUGAACCUUACCAUGUAGAUCCACAUUAUUUUGAGAACUUCCUUGGUAAGAGAACCCUGAGAUAAGCCGCUCCUGCUUGGGGUCUAGGUGCCACCGAAGCAAAUGCCAUUUUACAAGAAAAUGCCAUUUUUUCCUACUAGUAGUUGAAUCCAGUAGUUCUUAAAUAUAAAACUGCCCAAUGUAACUUGAUAACAUCAUGACAAUUUGAAUUUAGACUCCAAUGCAACAUUUGAAAUGUGCCUGGCUUUUAUGCAUAUGUUUCAAAAGGAUACUCUGUCCAGGAGGAUAGGAGGAAGCCUUAACAUGACCAUUCACUCUUCAUGUGAGAGGCAAUCUUACCCUGGUUUUGACCAUCUUUAAUAAGAAGCAGACCUGUGCCCAGCUGAUCCCACAAGAUGGAAGACCUGAGGACCACCCUUCCGGAGAAUCAAAGGCAAAGGUUGCUCAUCUGAUCACUGUUGCUGCUUCCCAUAGUGCUGAAUGAAAAUACAACUGGAAGUACAAGCUCUUUGAAAAGGGUUUGAAAGCAUCUACUGAAGCUGAAUGUAUGCAUUAACUUUGACUCAGCAAUUCCACCUUCAGAUUGGAAUAUCCUCAACAAAGAUGUGUAUAUUGGAUUGUCAAAAGACACAUACUGGAAUGUUCAUGGCAGCACUAUACAUAGUAGCACCAAGCUGGAACAUGAAAAUGCUAAUAAUCAGUAAAAUGGAUAAAUAAAUUGUGAUAUAUUCACAAAGAGAACAAUAUAUGGGCAUGAGAAUAAUCUAUAGCUACACACAGCAAUAAUGAUGAUGAAAACAAGUAUUAUGUUGAGUAAAGAAAGACACAAAGUACAUACUGUAUGAUUACAUACAUAUAAAGAAAAAAACACAAGCAAAGCUAAUUUAUGAUUUGAGUGAUUACUCAUAUGGGGGGUGAGAAAAGGAAGGGGCAAAGGGAAGCCAGUAGAGUACUGACAAUAUUCUCUUCCUUCACGUGGAUAUUGGUUACAUGGGUUUGUUUGAUUUUUGAGAAUUCACUGAGGUGUACACUUACAAAAUGUGCACUUUUCAA
rnacentral:lncRNA from 10 species